rnacentral:lncRNA from 1 species
UAAGCUAUACCUCACAAAAAUCUAGCACUAAAUACACUUCGUGUAUCUUUUGUUUAUUAUAUUAACGAACAAAAGUACAAUUUUCUAUUUCAAAAUGAUUUUUCAGGUAUGAAAAUCACAAUGCUUAGGGGUGAGACAGUCCAAAUUAUUCAAAAUUGUGAUACACUAUUACACUUACUUGCAACUUAUGCAUAGAACCAUUACAUGACAUUUUGGCACCUUCAUCUUUUAUUAGUUUCCUGCUUUGACGGUCGUUUUAGUAUAUUAUUUUAAUUUUUUCGAAAAGUCUUACAUUGUAUUCCUCAUAAUAUUAAAUUAACUGUAUCAAGGCUGUAAUCUUUAAACAUGAAAGAUAAGAGGAAAAUAUCAAAAGAAUUAUCAAACUCAUUAUUUGGAAGUGAAAAUAACAACUCCAUGGCAGAAGAACGUGAAAAACAGCAUUACGACAAACUUCACUCUACAAAAAAAAAAAUAAAAAAAUGAGCAACACGAACUCCACCAAAAACUGGGGGAUGAUCUCAGUUGAUUUGAAAGGGUAAACAACCCCGCGCAACAAAAAACGACAGAGAUUUCAAAUUUAAAGUUCAAUCAACUCAUAUGAAACAGAUGGCGUUUUUUUUUUAAACUUUGUUAAAUAAUUGUGGCUAAGACAAUAUGAACGUAUCCGUCGCCAUCUUCAUAUAACGG